UCUCCGUUGGUGAACCAGCGGAGGGAUCAUUACCGAAGUUACCUUCAAAACCCACUGUGAACCUUACCUCUUGCCGCGUUGUCUCGGCGGGAGGCGGUGUGCGUCGCGCGCCCUAGCGGGCCGUGCCGCUCCCGUCCCCGCCGGCAGCGCCAAACUCUAAAUGCACAGCGGACUGUACGUUCUGAUUUACAAAAAAAACAAGUUAAAACUUUCAACAACGGAUCUCUUGGUUCUG
rnacentral:misc_RNA from 1 species